CCCCGCGCCCGCGGAGCCCCGGCUCCCGCCUGCCCAGCCCCCUCCCGGGGAGCGAGCCGGGACCCAGGGGUGGGAGCAGAGUCGGGGCUUUGUGGCGCCGGGGGCCGAGGAAGAAUGAAACGUGCAGUUGGGAGUGUUGCUCGCGUCCCAGGGAGCAGCGCAGGCCCGAUUGUCUGCCGCCGAGAUGGCCUUUUGUUCGGAGCAUAAGGUUUAAGAAACACACACACGUUUUCUGGGGUCUCUUGUUGGAUGUAAAUGUGCCGCAUCCAGACGCUCGCGGNNNNNNNNNNNNNNNNNNNNNNNNNCGCCCCGCCCCGCCCCGCCCCGCCCCGGCGACCGGGACCGUUGGGACGCGGACCUCACCCAGACUUCUGGGCCGCCGGCACUGCCUUCGCCCCGUUUCACUCCAGACUAGCCAAGCAUCCCACGGAGAUGAUAAAGCAAACAAUAACAUCUGAUCAUGACGUCCACGAGAUAAUGUGCCCGGCAAAGUUCUUUAGGAAUCGGGAUGAGCGGGAGGGGAAGUCUGAUACCCAGGAGAUGAUCCGAGUUUCAACUCUCUGUGGUGAAAAGAGGGUGAAGAGCAGCAGAAGUGGCUCCAGGAAAAUUCAGCAAGGAUAGUUGUCCUUCAUGUUUCUAUUGUAGUACCCUUUCUUCCUGACCUUCUAUUGCUCCUCUGUGCCUAGGUACAGAAAGUGAAAAGAAGCAAUCUGACCAAUUCAUAUAUAUAUAAAUACACCAGUGUGUUAAUCUUUCCAAAGCUACCAAGAAGGCAAAAGAAGAUUGCUUCAUGGAAGGCAGUGCGGAAAGCAGGGAUUAAAAAAUAUCAUUCACUUAUUGACAAAUUUCUUGAAUGUCAAGAAUGCUUGGUAUAUAAAGAUAAUUAUCACACAGUCCACACUGGGUAUUUUGCAUGUGGAGCCAAUAUGAAUUUUUGGGAGCCAGAGUGGACUAUAGUAGGCAGAAUAAGGCUGCUUCUCUUCAAUAGAUGUAUCUGCCCUCCUCUAUUUUCUUACAUGAGGAACAAAAGGAACUUUACAGAUAGAAAUGACGUUAUGGACCUUCAAAUAGAGAAAUUAUCUUGAAUUAUCUGGAAGGAGCCAGUGUAAUGUCAUGGGCUCUGCAAAGUGGCAGAGGAAGACAGAAGUCAGUGAGACAGAUGUGAAGAACAAAAGGCAGAAGAGAUUUGAAGUGAAAAUAACCACCACUGCUAGCUUUGCAUAUGAAGAAAAUGGCUUCCACAAGCCAGGGAAUGUGUGGUCCUUGGAAGCUGGGAACUACCCUCGCUGAGAGCUGAGGAAGUCAGUCCUACAACUGCAAGGAAUUCAUUUCUGCCAACAACAUACACAAGGAAGGAAACGGGUUCUGUCCUACAGAAGUUAACCUAUAGAACUGUGACAGCCAUAACUUUGUCUGUUUGAAGUGGCUUGGUUUGUAGUAAAUUGUUAUUGCAGUUACAGAAAACUAAUACAAAUGGGAAUAAAAAGAACGCUUACCUUAAAAAGAGAAUUAAA
rnacentral:lncRNA from 1 species